AUGAUUAUGCAAGUUAUUGGCAGAAUUAUAAACCUCACAGGUGAUACACCCAGCACUCCAACUCUCGACAGCUUCCCUCCUCCCUCGGAAAAACUGCCUUUGCAGGAAACAGUCAGCAUCACGUGCCGCAUACAAGGAUCCUUCCCUGGAGAGGCCAAUAUAAGAUGGUUCCGAAAUGCCAAAGCCGCAGCAACUUCAGUCAACUCCAUCAGCAAACCUGAGAGACCAGAGAACUUCAGGUCUAGCCUACUGCACCUCAAUAUUUCAGAAUGGGAUGACGAAGCGACAUACUUUUGUGCCAUGGGAAAAGAGACCUUUCCCUCCUUGACAUUGCAGCAGGUCCCAGACCAGGACCCCGGCAAGCCCUCGGCCUCCAACAAGUCCCUCUUCAGGUCCCGCUUCCAGGAGGCUAAAGAAGACUCAAGUGUGAUUCUCAGAUGCGUAGUGGAAGGGCCCCAUCCUGACAACCUCUCCAUCACGUGGCACGAGAAUGGCAGACCCCUGACUGGAGACAACAGCGUCAUCCACACCAGCAGCGAGCCUAACGUUUUUCUCAACAGCAGCCUGAAAAUCUCUGGUGAUGCGUGGAAUUCGGCAAAGGCUUUCUCAUGCGCCAUUGGUCAGCAAAAUUCCCCACACCCGGAACACCCGUGAGAAAUCUCCGGGUGAGGAAUGAAGACCAGUCCCUGUCCCAACAUCGUGGCCUUUCCCCCCAGCACAGAAUUGCCUCUGCUGCAGUCAGAUCAAACCCUGUUUGACCCCCCCAUGCACCCCUUUGUAGUCAAUAGCUGUAUAAAACAGAAGCCCUAUGA